GGUUUGUCAGAGACUGCACAAACGAACAAGUGAACUGGAUGGAAUUGUCAGUAAUUCUGGACACUAAAACAAUGCAAGUGUUACAAAGAAAAAGGAGUUUCGUUAUCAGGCUUAGAGACAGGCAACCAAAUCACUCAAGGACCUUCAAAGCACGAUCUAACCAAAGAGGAAAAAGGCACCAGGCAGUAAGAAGUUAAGUAUUCGACGUUUCGAUUCCGAAUGACCUUCCUACCAGACCUGAAAGUCUUUUCCAGCUCUUAUUCGCACGAGCGUUUGUUUGAUAGCAAAGCUGCUGCAUCCCGGGACAGCGCGC